AACGAACGCUGGCGGCAUGCCUAACACAUGCAAGUCGAACGAAGGCUUCGGCCUUAGUGGCGCACGGGUGCGUAACGCGUGGGAAUCUGCCCUUUGGUUCGGAAUAACAGCUGGAAACGGCUGCGAAUACCGGAUGAUGACGAAAGUCCAAAGAUUUAUUGCCAGAGGAUGAGCCCGCGUUGGCUUAGUUAGUUGGUGGGGUAAAGGCCUACCAAGCCGACGAUCCAUAGCUGGUCUGAGAGGAUGAUCAGCCACACUGGGACGGAGACACGGCCCAGACUCCUACGCGAGGCAGCAGUGGGGGAUCUUGGAAAAUGGGCGCAAGGCUGAUCCAGCAAUGCCGCGUGAGUGAUGAAGGCCCUAGGGUUGUAAAGCUCUUUUACCCGGGAAGAUAAUGACUGUACCGGGAGAAUAAGCCCCGGCUAACUCCGUG
rnacentral:rRNA from 1 species